rnacentral:rRNA from 1 species
AGCAGCCGCGGUAAUUCCAGCUCCAAUAGCGUAUAUUAAAGUUGUUGCAGUCAAAAAGCUCGUAGUUGAAUUUCGGGAUCAAUAUGUCUGUCGUGCCUUCGGUACGUACGGGUAUAAUUGGUUUCUACCUUCUGAUGAACCUUGAUGCCAUUAAUUUGGUGUCUUGGGGACUCAGGACUGUUACCUUGAAAAAAUUAGAGUGUUUAAAGCAGGCAUACGCUUGAAUACAUUAGCAUGGAAUAAUGAAAUAGGACGUUCGAUUCUAUUUUGUUGGUUUCUAGGAUCGACGUAAUGAUUAAUAGGGAUAGUUGGGGGCAUUAGUAUUCAAUUGUCAGAGGUGAAAUUCUUGGAUUUAUUGAAGACUAACUACUGCGAAAGCAUUUGCCAAGGAUGUUUUCAUUAAUCAAGAACGAAAGUUAGGGGAUCGAAGACGAUCAGAUACCGUCGUAG